AAACGAAGCACUCCACCAAGGUAAAACUGUCAUUUGCAAACUACCUGUGGUCACAACAAGACCUUCCUCCUUUCACAGAAUCAUCAGAAUCCAUUUUGUUUUAUCAAAGUUCCUCAGUUACAAGAACAAAGUCAAAUUACCCAAAAAGAAUACAAUGGCUGAUAUGGUCAUGACCUUUCUCUAUCCGAUCGGCGAGUGUACCGACGCAUAUUCAAAUAUUACAGAUCCACUUAUCUAACCUCUGUACGCGAAACUUUGAACGAGAUUUCACCGUGUAAAAAAACUACGCCAUCCAUAGUCUAAGGACAUAUUCAUUCUGAAAUCUCGUUUCAAAAAAACAGCUAUUAUUUUUUGUAUCAAUGCAAACUAAAUAUGUUAAUUUCUUUUAAAGCGGAAAGGAAAAUAAAAACGAAAUCACUAAUCAGAAAAAAAGGGUUAAAUAGAAAGCAAACUAUGGUCAUGGUGAUAUUUUAGCUGAAAAAGAGAGUCGUUAUUAACCAUUAUGCUAAAUAAGGGAAAAGGAACAAUAAAAAAUCGUUAUAAAACAGGGAAAAAGACUUAUACCCGACAGCUUAACAAAAGUCGCCUGAGCAAAUAUAUCGGCUGUUUUGUCCUUUCGCAAAACAGCUAAAAUGUUAAUAAAGGCGACUUCAGCGUAUAGAUUUUUGUCUAUCGUUUUAAUCAUUAUACUGCAUCAAGAGAGAAAAAAAGAACCAUACAAU